rnacentral:rRNA from 1 species
GUUCGACUCCGGAGAGGGAGCCUGAGAAACGGCUACCACAUCCAAGGAAGGCAGCAGGCGCGCAAAUUACCCACUCUCGGCACGAGGAGGUAGUGACGAAAAAUAACGAGACGGAUCUCUUUGAGGCCCGUUAUCGGAAUGAGAACAAUUCAAAUCCUUUAACGAGGAUCUAGCGGAGGGCAAGUCUGGUGCCAGCAGCCGCGGUAAUUCCAGCUCCGCAGGUGUAUAUCUAUGCUGCUGCGGUUAAAAAGCUCGUAGUUGGAUCUGCGUGCUCGGAACUGGUUGGCUCACUGAGUUCAAACUGGUCUCCGGCGCUUUAUUGGCUGGUUUUCCCUUGAUGCUCUUAACCGGGUGUCUUGGGUGGCUAGCACGUUUACUUUGAAAAAAUUAGAGUGCUCAAUACAGGCGUAAAGCCUUGAAUAGUGGUGCAUGGAAUAAUAGAAUAGGACCUCGGCUCUAUUUUGUUGGUUUUCGGAACGCGAGGUAAUGAUUAAGAGGGACAGACGGGGGCAUUCGUAUUGCGACGUUAGAGGUGAAAUUCUUGGAUCGUCGCAAGACGGACGACUGCGAAAGCAUUUGCCAAGAAUGUUUUCAUUAAUCAAGAACGAAAGUUAGAGGUUCGAAGGCGAUCAGAUACCGCCCUAGUUCUAACCGUAAACGAUGCCAACUAGCGAUUCGCAGGCGUUAAACAACGACCUUGCGGGCAGCUUCCCGGAAACGAAAGUGUUCGGGUUCCGGGGGAAGUAUGGUUGCAAAGCUGAAACUUAAAGGAAUUGACGGAAGGGCACCACCAGGAGUGGAGCCUGCGGCUUAAUUUGACCCAACACGGGAAAACUCACCCGGCCCGGACACCGUAAGGAUUGACAGAUUGAGAGCUCUUUCUUGAUUCGGUGGGUGGUGGUGCAUGGCCGUUCUUAGUUGGUGGAGCGAUUUGUCUGGUUUAUUCCGAUAACGAACGAGACUCUGGCCUACUAAAUAGUGGGCGGAUUCUUUCUGUCCGCAACACUUCUUAGAGGGACAAGCGGUGUUCAGCCGCACGAGAUUGAGCAAUAACAGGUCUGUGAUGCCCUUAGAUGUCCGGGGCUGCACGCGCGCUACACUGAAGGAAUCAGCGUGCUUUCUGACCUUGCCCGAAAGGGCUGGGUAACCCGAUGAAAAUCCUUCGUGAUUGGGAUAGGGACUUGCAAUUAUUUCCCUUGAACGAGGAAUUCCCAGUAAGUGUGGGUCAUAAGCUCGCGUUGAUUACGUCCCUGCCCUUUGUACACACCGCCCGUCGUUGCCCGGAACUGAGCCGUUUCGAGAAGAACAGGGACCGUCGUUGAAGGGCCUUAACGGGCUUUUCUCUGAUAGAAACUGUUUUAAUCGCAGUGGCUUGAACCGGGCAAAAGUCGUAACAAGGUU